CCUACGGGAGGCAGCAGUGGGGAAUCUUGCGCAAUGGGCGAAAGCCUGACGCAGCGACGCCGCGUGAGGGAUGAAGGUCUUCGGAUCGUAAACCUCUGUCAGCAGGGAAGAACGGUCACUGUGCUAAUCAGCAGUGAAUUGACGGUACCUGCAAAGGAAGCACCGGCUAACUCCGUGCCCGCAGCCGCGGUAAUACGGAGGGUGCGCGCGUUAAUCGGAAUUACUGGGCGUAAAGCGCUCGUAGGCGGUAUGUCAAGUCAAGGGUGAAAUCCCCGCGCUGAACGUGGGAACUGCUUUUGAAACUGGCAAACUGGAGUGUGUGAGAGGAUAGUGGAAUUCCAGGUGGAGGAGUGAAAUCCGUAGAUAUCUGGAGGAACAUCAGUGGCGAAGGCGACUAUCUGGCACAUAACUGACGCUGAGGAGCGAAAGCGUGGGUAGCAAACAGGAUUAGAUACCCCAGUAGUC
rnacentral:rRNA from 1 species